UGAGAGAUGUUUCCAGCGUAGUAGUAAUUUUGGCAUAACUUGCGUAUUCUCACUACCAAAUGAAAAGGGCCUAAAAUAUUCUAGUUUUAUUUCCUCCUCUCUUCCCCACCCACCCCCCUCACCAUUCAGUUUCAAUAUGUACUGCUUUUUCUAAUAUGUAUCACAAUGAUUGUAAAUGUGAAAGCUAUAUGGUACAUCACCAACUCCAGAAAUACCGUGAACUAUCAGACACCUAAUUGUUAAACCUGUAUUGCCCAGCUCUGAAUACUCUUUCAAUUCUUCAAAUCAGCAGCAGUUCGUUCCUAAAGUAAAAUAUGCGCCGCUAGAGCAAACUCCUUGAUUGUCCCUCUACUCUAGUCCAAUGCCUUGAUUGUUUGCCUAAUCCACAUUGCAGUAUUGGGGUCAAAUCUCAGUUCCCACGUAGGCCAGUAAUGUAGAUCUUGCUUCAAAGUCAACACUCGAGGCUUCCCAUUUAGGUGUACAGUCCUUACACGGGCAAACUCCCCAUGCCCUAAUUCCUUUGUCACAUCAAUGAAAGCAUCUAAAUGAGGCGUUGGUCUCCCAUUAAUUUCAACUAUCCAUUGAAGAGCAUAAAGACCAUAUCUGUGCACAGGGCUUCCAUGACACCACCGAGCCACAUACACACCGUGACCCUCUUCAGGAAGAAAU
rnacentral:misc_RNA from 1 species